UAACGGCAUGAAGAUGUUUGGAUUGGCGAAACACUUUAUUCAAAUGCAAAAAUUGUUAUUUCCUUUUUAAUAUAUAUAUUUUUUCCCUUAUCCUGUUGUGCAAUUCUUUGUUGAACUUCUUUUAUAGUAUCAAGGUCUCCUAUAUAUUUUUUUGAGACUGUAAAUGGUUGAAUAAUAGUAUUGUUGGUGUAGUAAAGGAGGUGUUUUACUAGACCAGUUGCUCAUUCUAACCUGUUUAGAGUUUGGAACAUUGGAUAGAAUUUUAUUUUAUAAUUGUGCUCUGUCCUUCUUUUAAGUAAGUAUUUUCUUUCCCGUCUGCAGGUUUUUUAUUGAAGAGAAGUGCUAAAACUAAUGGCUGGAGUAAACGAUGGUUUGUUUUAAAUGAAAAAACAGGUAAGGUGGGUAGUUCAGACCAAUUUUUUUUAUAUCCAUUUUGCUUCAUGAAGCACUCUGAAGUAACCAACCGGCCAAAUGCAUAUUGGGAACAGAGCUUUAAUUUGUUUUUGAAGCACCUUGAUUGAAGUGUUUCUAUUAUUUCUUAGUGGUGAUUGAUUAGGAAAAUUGAUCCCUGGUCCAACUCCGGUCAGUUCUUUUUAUACAUAGAUUCCUUAUAAUUUUCAGCUGUUCUGGUAAUGUACAUGCUUGGAUUAAUAUCAUUUUGAGCUUUGCAUAACACACUUCUAUUGUUUAUUCAUUUCUUGUUCUGCUUGUUUGGUCCACACAUCGAAAUGGAUUUUAAAUGAUAACGUCAAAAAAAAAAAAUAAAAAAAAAAUGGUUUUUAGAAUGCUCGUUUGGUUAUAAAAUAAUGCACUUUAUCAAUAUCUAGAUGUUUUUCCUGCAUUGCGGAUUAUUUCAAUGUUAUGAUGUUGCCACCUAAAUCUAAACCCCUUGCUGCAGCUUGGAUACAUAAAAAAGCAAGAAAAGUAUCAUUUUCGAGGUGUCAUCACUUUGGAGUUACUUUUGAAUUUAAUACAUACUAAACAUGUAUUUAUUUGAAAUUUCAACCAUGGAUCCUGCGAGCUUCUUCACAUUGAUCCAACGGGGGUGUAUGAGAGUCAACAGACAGUAUUAUUCUAUGUAAAAUGAUUUUCCUCUCUCAAAAGAUUCCUACAUGCAAUUUUCCAUAUAUUUCCCUUUUUUUUUUUGGGUAAUGAAAUUUUUUUUAAUCAUGUUACAAAAGUAGUCCAUUAACAAGGCGUUCACUUGAAAUAUAAAAACACAAAUUUAAAAAUAGAAUACUGCAUGCAUCCUUCCAGCCAAGAAUAUUUAAAGAUAAAAUAAUUUCCAGUACUCUUGAUGCUGAAGUCCAUGAAGAAGUUUUGUCCCUCACCUGCAAAUCAGCAAGCGAUUUUAUUUUUUAAUUUUUUGUUUUCCUUCUUUCAAAAGUUUGGAAUUCAUCCAGAAAAUAGACAACACAAUUAUCACUGCCCAACUUUCCUGAGCCGAAGCCAAUCUGGUUGCACUGUUUAGGAAACCCAAUCGAAACCUUUUUCUAUUAAAAUCUAAAAAUGUAUCAGUGUAUGCUAAGAGAGUAAUGCUAUUCAGCACCAAUAUGCCAAACGCGGCAAGUCAAUAAACUGAAACUGAAAAUUCCAUGCAAUGGAAUUGUUUUCUGAAACUGAACUAACACCAAGUUAACGAGAACAGUUGUCAGUGCUGAGACUUGUAGACUAGUCUUGGAAAGGAUGAAGCCAAGGAGCAUUGACCCCUUCAGACAUGACUGUGGACAAGCUGCUUUUAUCUGGAAUGCGAUCUUGAAGACUUUUCGGAGGAAAAUGAAGCUUCUUCAAAAAGUUCCAAGGAUAAAAAGACGAAUAGUCCAGAUGGAGGGAAACGACCCAGUCUUGUGUUUAAGAUAACAAGCAUGGUUCCGUACAAGACUGUUCUUAAAUCUCAUAGUGCUGUUGUCUUGAAGGCUGAGAAUAUGGCAGAGUGGUUCAACAAAUUGAGAAAUAUUAUAAGUUCUAAAGGAGGUAAAGUGAAGGGUGAAUCUGGUCUUUCAAUGCGGCAAAGCCUUUCUGAUGGUUCUCUUGUAAGAAACUUAAUGAACUUCUUGUCUUCAAAGGUUCUUGUUACUGGUGUAUUCUGCUACGACUAUUGUUCAUCAUAAUUUCUGUAACUCUUAAACCUGCUGA